UUUUCCUUGUCUCUCUUAAUUUGCUCAGAGUUUACUGUAUCAGUGGCUUUAGACCGUGCAUCAGGCACACGAGGUUCCAAAUUGUUAGGUCCUGCGUUCAUCCAUGGAUGAAGAAGACACUGUGCUGCAGUUGGCCGUUUCUCUGGAUCAAAAUCAAGUAUUGGGAUCAGGAAAUCAGCCAUGUCCUUUGCAUCUCGCUCGCUGAACUCAUAUUUCUCAACGAGCACCUUAUCUAAUGGCCAAAAGCGUAACCGUCUG
rnacentral:misc_RNA from 1 species